rnacentral:misc_RNA from 1 species
UACAGAGGGUGCAAGCGUUAAUCGGAAUUACUGGGCGUAAAGCGCGCGCAGGUGGCUAAGUAAGAUGGGUGUGAAAUCCCCGGGCUCAACCUGGGAACUGCGUCCAUAACUGCUUAGCUAGAGUACGGUAGAGGGUGGUGGAAUUUCCUGUGUAGCGGUGAAAUGCGUAGAUAUAUGAAGGAACACCGGUGGCGAAGGCGUCCACCUGGACUGAUACUGACACUGAGGUGCGAAAGCGUGGGGAGCAAACAGG